GCUGGAUAGCUCAGUUGGCUAGAGCAUGCUUCUGAUAAUGCCAAGGUUGCAGGUUUGAUCCCUGUAUGGGACAGCUGCA